UGCAGUCGAGCGGAACGAUCCUAGCUUGCUAGGAGGCGUCGAGCGGCGGACGGGUGAGUAAUGCAUAGGAAUCUGCCCGGUAGUGGGGGAUAACUUGAGGAAACUCAAGCUAAUACCGCAUACGCCCUACGGGGGAAAGCAGGGGCUCUUCGGACCUUGCGCUAUCGGAUGAGCUUAUGUCGGAUUAGCUGGUUGGUGAGGUAACGGCUCACCAAGGCGACGAUCCGUAGCUGGUCUGAGAGGAUGAUCAGCCACAUCGGGACUGAGACACGGCCCGAACUCCUACGGGAGGCAGCAGUGGGGAAUAUUGGACAAUGGGGGCAACCCUGAUCCAGCCAUGCCGCGUGUGUGAAGAAGGCCCUCGGGUUGUAAAGCACUUUCAGCGAGGAAGAAUGCUUGUCGGUUAAUACCCGGCAAGGGAGACAUCACUCGCAGAAGAAGCACCGGCUAACUCCGUGCCAGCAGCCGCGGUAAUACGGAGGGUGCGAGCGUUAAUCGGAAUUACUGGGCGUAAAGCGUGCGUAGGCGGCUUGAUAAGCCGGUUGUGAAAGCCCCGGGCUCAACCUGGGAACGGCAUCCGGAACUGUUAGGCUAGAGUGCAGGAGAGGAAGGUAGAAUUCCCGGUGUAGCGGUGAAAUGCGUAGAGAUCGGGAGGAAUACCAGUGGCGAAGGCGGCCUUCUGGACUGACACUGACGCUGAGGUACGAAAGCGUGGGUAGCAAACAGGAUUAGAUACCCUGGUAGUCCACGCCGUAAACGAUGUCGACUAGCCGUUGGGGUCCUCGAGACCUUUGUGGCGCAGUUAACGCACUAAGUCGACCGCCUGGGGAGUACGGCCGCAAGGUUAAAACUCAAAUGAAUUGACGGGGGCCCGCACAAGCGGUGGAGCAUGUGGUUUAAUUCGAUGCAACGCGAAGAACCUUACCUA
rnacentral:rRNA from 1 species